AUUGAACGCUGGCGGCAUGCUUUACACAUGCAAGUCGGACGAGUGGCGAACGGGUGAGUAACGCCUCGGAACGUACCGAGUAAUGGGUGAUAACUGUCCGAACGGACAGCUAAUACCGCAUAUUAUUCGAGCGGCCGAUGUCGUAUUAGCUGGUUGCCGGGGUAAAGGCCCACCAAGGCGCAGAUCAGUAGCGGGUCUGAGAGGAUGAUCCGCCAAACUGGGACUGAGACACGGCCCAGACUCCUACGGGAGGCAGCAGUGGGGAAUUUUGGACAAUGGGCGCAAGCCUGAUCCAGCCAUGCAGCGUGUCUGAAGAAGGCAUUCGGGUUGUAAAGGACUUUUGUCAGGGAAGCGGUACCUGAAGAAUAAGCACCGGCUAACUACGUGCCAGCCGCCGCGGUAAUUC
rnacentral:rRNA from 1 species